UGUCCCCUGCGGUGUUCGUCAGACUCAUAUAUUCUUUGAACCAAGUAACUAACCAGGUCGCGACUCACACGCUGCUGUUGUGAAUGUCCCAUAGCGGAUGAUCCUGAUGCGGCAGAGAAGUGACCCUCUUGAACCUUACGGUUCGAGAUGCUGGGUCAACGGCACAGGCGGGGGGCUU
rnacentral:other from 1 species